GAUGAACGCUGGCGGCGUGCCUAAUACAUGCAAGUCGAGCGAACGGACGAGAAGCUUGCUUUUCUUAUGUUAGCGGCGGACGGGUGAGUAACACGUGGAUAACCUACCUAUAAGACUGGGAUAACUUCGGGAAACCGGAGCUAAUACCGGAUAAUAUUUUGAACCGCAUGGUUCAAAAGUGAAAGACGGUCUUGCUGUCACUUAUAGAUGGAUCCGCGCUGCAUUAGCUAGUUGGUAAGGUAACGGCUUACCAAGGCAACGAUGCAUAGCCGACCUGAGAGGGUGUUCGGCCACACUGGAACUGAGACACGGUCCAGACUCCUACGGGAGGCAGCAGUAGGGAAUCUUCCGCAAUGGGCGAAAGCCUGACGGAGCAACGCCGCGUGAGUGAUGAAGGUCUUCGGAUCGUAAAACUCUGUUAUUAGGGAAGAACAUAUGUGUAAGUAACUGUGCACAUCUUGACGGUACCUAAUCAGAAAGCCACGGCUAACUACGUG
rnacentral:rRNA from 1 species